UACGUAGGAGGCGAGCGUUGUCCGGAGUUACUGGGCGUAAAGGGUGCGUAGGCGGCGCGGUAAGUCGGGUGUGAAAUCUCGGAGCUUAACUCCGAAACUGCAUUCGAUACUGCCGUGCUUGAGGACUGGAGAGGAGACUGGAAUUUACGGUGUAGCGGUGAAAUGCGUAGAUAUCGUAAGGAAGACCAGUGGCGAAGGCGGGUCUCUGGACAGUUCCUGACGCUGAGGCACGAAGGCCAGGGGAGCAAACGGG
rnacentral:rRNA from 1 species